AAUUCCGCGAAAUCAAAUUCAUGGAAACCGAUUCCAAACCCAAAAUUCAAAUUCCAAGCAAUAUGAAACGAUCAUCCUCUUCCAACUCCGAUUCGUACUCUCACUUCGAAUCCCCCCACUCCUUUGUCUCCCCGGUUAACUCGCCGGGAACGUAUCCACAGGUCGAGAACUCCAUAGCGAUCGUCGCUGUCGAUAAGUUCACUCAGUGCAGUCCGCAGCCGCCCCCUCUUUCGCAGGAGAAUGCUGCGUAUCCUCAGGCUAAGGAGUGGGGGGAUUCGAAGUGAGAGUA
rnacentral:misc_RNA from 1 species